AACGUAGGACGCAAGCGUUAUCCGGAGUUACUGGGCGUAAAGAGCGCGCAGGCGGUCGUUCAAGUCGCGUGUGAAAGCCCCCGGCUCAACUGGGGAGGGUCACGCGAUACUGAUCGACUCGAAGGCAGGAGAGGGUAGUGGAAUUCCCGGUGUAGUGGUGAAAUGCGCAGAUAUCGGGAAGAACACCCGUGGCGAAGGCGGCUCUCUGGGACGGUACUGACGCUGAGACGCGAAAGCGUGGGGAGCGAACAGG
rnacentral:rRNA from 1 species